CAAAUGUAGCUCUCGUUGAGCAACUGGUCAGCAAAGUACGGCCAGCACAAGAAAGGAAGCCCACUGCUUAGGCCUUCCAGGGUAGAGUUCCAACCGCAGUGGCUUACAAAGCAAGCAAUCGAAGGAUGACUGAGAACCUUUUGUUGAGGUGCCCAUCCGACCAUCAGACCGCAAGAGCCUACUCGCUCUUGAUAUCCUUCCGGGUAGGGAUCACUUGCACCAUCAGUGGUAUCCGGCCUCACAACCCACAGAAAUGGUCUCCCUGACAACUCAAGAGCCAACGCAAGCUCUUGGAAUUGUGUUUGAUCGAAAACCGUGAAGCUGCCAAAUGCAACAUAGAUCACUGAUCUGGGUUUCUGUUGAUCCAGCCAAUCUAAGCAUGUUGAGUCUUGUGGCCAGAAGUUUCCUUGUGAGUUCUCGAGCCGGCUGCUUGCCAAAAGGGGGCCUAUUGGUAAAAUCUCGGGUGCUAGGGUGAACGCUGCUGGUUCAAGAUCAUACGCCGAGUUGCAGACAAGCCAGUCUGCCGCUUUCGCAUACUUAUUGUUUCUUACUAAAAGUUGAAAGAUAAUUUUCUGAGUGUCUAGUGUAUGAAAGCAUGUCCACAGCAAGUUUGCAGUUUUCAUUUUGGGCUGAUUUUUUGCCAACUCAAUUUCUUGGCUUUUCAACGGAGUUCCUGCCAUAAGUGAAUCAUAACGAGAAUAUAAUUAGUGAAUUAGAUCAAAAUAAUUCUUUGUUAAUCAAAUUAUUGUACCAUCAUCGUUGUCGAUGAUUCCUUCAUGAAUCAACUUUGGAAUAUUGAAACUCAAUGCCAAAGCUGCAGCUGAUGCAGGCCAAAAGGCAACCCGCCGGAUUUUCAUUUUCGCUGCCACGUCCAGAGCCCACCCGGAAUUCUCAUCAGCAAGAACACAUGCGACCUUUUCACUUUCUUCUUCAUUGAUCUUCUCUAUCAACUCCUCCAACUUCCCCGGCAUGACUCGUUGAAUUCCUUCACACAACAGGCCUAGGUCAUUCCUGUCCUCCUUGGGUUCUAAGCCAUCUGGAAGCGAUACUAGAUGAAUACGAUCUCCUACAUGAGUUUCGCCAGCCAAGGCGUUCACGAUGCGUUUGUGAUUGAACUCUGUGUUCACAAAUGUGACUUUGAAGCCAUGAUUGACUAAGCAUUGUGACAACUCCAUCAAGGGCAGCACAUGGCCUUGUGCGGGAAAAGGAACAGCUAUUAUAUGUAGGUUGCUCAUUUUUGUUUUGAUCUUUCCUUUUUCCGCUAUGAGAUGUUUUCGAAUGUAGCUUCUCUAUCGUGUCAUAUAUAGAAGAAGCCCGGAGCAUCGUAUUAGGAAAUAUUAUAUACGGUAUUAUAUGUAAAUAUCUUGUAUUAUAUUUACCUAAAUACGUUUGAGUCAAAUCCCACAAAAUAUGGGUCACUGUUCCUUAGUCAUUAAUGUAGGGUUGAUUAGUUCACUAGGUGGUGUAUAUAUUGUACAGUAUACUCUGCCAAUUGAGACAGAUGAAAAACAUUCAAUCUAGAAAAUUUUAACGAAAAAUUCGCGGUACUGUUCAUUUUAAGGAAAAAUCAUAAUUUUACACUAAAAAGUUAAAACUGAUGCUAUUUAUUUUAUCCUUUAUUUCGUUUUUAUUGUUAAAACUCAAAAAUUUCAAAUUAUUUUUAUUAAUUUUUUUUUCAGUUUAUCAAUUGUCAUAGACUUCCAAUCUAGCCUUUUGAAUAUUCAACUAUUUUAACAUGGUAUCCAGAGCAUAAGGUUCUGGUGCCUAAUUGCCCACGUUUUUAACUCUCAUCCAUCUAAACAUAAUGUCAUAAUGUCAGACACAUUUGUUCAACCACCACCGCAGAAAAAUCAAAACAAUAGCAAUAUCGGCAUCGAUCCAUCAAGUCCCCCUUAGCAACAAGUCAACCAAAAUAAUUUGCUCUCUCGAAUCAAUGCAACAAUAUGAUUUUGUCAUGGUUUGCUCAAUCAGUUGAAUCUGAUUUAUCUAAAAGAGUUGUUCAUGCCAAAAGCGUCCAAAGGGAGUGGGAAGAUUUCAAAAAUCAGUUUUCACAGUAAAAUGCACCAACAAUUUAUCAGAUUCAGAAGUUCAUCGCAUCUCUCUCACAAGGAUCCAUGACGGUCUCGGCUUAUAUUACAAAACUUAAAAGCCUUUGGAAUGAAUUAGAGACAUAUGAUCUAAAGUUCAUCAAGCAUAUUCACUUGUUAUUCAAGAUGAAACACAACGACAAAUGACAUCAGAAUUAAUCGAAAAUUUCUCAAUCGCUACUGCAGUUCAAAAUCGAUCGAACCAUUCCUCUAACAGUUCCACGAAUCUUCGUUACGAAUACUGUGGUAAAGACAGACACACAAUUGAAAAUUGUAGGACUUGGAAAAUAUUAUUACAAAUUUUGUGACAAAUAAGGCCAAGACAGAUGCAAAAUAAAGAAUGGGACCGAGGACUAGUUACGGUGGAAACCAAGACAAGAAACACAUCAACAAACCUCGCUCCCGUGGAUCCCAUAGCAGCCACCCACGUACUGCCUUCUCUGCUGCAAAUGCCGCUGCUGGGUCAUCCUCUUUUGCUGCCAACGCAGCACAUGGUCCUCACCUUGCUGCCAAUACAGCAGCUGCCCCCUCUCAACCACACAUGUCUCAAUCAAAUGCUCUGCAGUGGACUUUCAGCAGAACAGCUUCAACAGUUGGCCCAAGCUGCAUCCAUGAUAAAUUUAAGGCUAAAUUGGAUUAAUGGUUUCCGUGAUAAUAGGUUAAUAGAAAGAUAAUUCCCGUGGUGAAAAAAUUCAGAUUGAAAUCUUCAUAGUGAAGUUCCGUUAGGAUUUAAGCUUAAAAUUAACAUUUCCGUUAGAAUUUUCAAUUUUGAGAGUUACUUUUCCUCUCUCUAUUUUUUUUUUCGAAGAUAUUUUUGUUAGAAGAAGGAAUGCGGGUAAAAUUCUAACACCAGUCACCACCAUCAUCAACUCCAACCCCAAAAUUUCACACCCUUUUCUUUUCCUACAUUUAUUCUAAUCCCAGAUUUUGUUUCUCAUAAAUACUCAUAUCCUUUUCUUGGUUUUCGUUUUUUUUAAAUUUUGCCCUUCUCUCACCUAUGUAUUAUCUUCUCUUACCCUUCUUUUCCCCUCCUUCUUCUUCUCGUGUUCGUCAAUUCGACUGGUUAUUGUUGUUCGUUAUCUAUGGAUAAAUCUGUAAUCUUGUUGUAUAUCGCUGCCUUGGCAACUUCGCUACGAUUAGUUUCUUCGUCUUCUGUUCUAUGCCCUCAUGACUCGAUUUCUUAAUUUCUUUUAUUUUGGAGCUGAAAAUAAUUAGUUAAUUAACUCAUAUGUUCCAUAACCAUAGCUAUGACUCUAUGAUUUGGGUGCUGGGAUGAAGAUAAAUAUCCAUUGGUUUGCUCCAGGCCGAAGGUCUGGAGAGAAAAUGAGAGAGAGAUGGGAUGCAAAGAACCAGGUGGGGAGAGGCAGAAUCAAAGAACCAAGGUGGAAAUGUUAACGGAAGUUGACGUCAGUUAAUUUUGGGUUUGAAUCCUAAUGAAACUUCACCACAAGCGUUUAAAUUUAAUUUUUUUUCACCACGGGGAUUAUCAUUCGAUUAACUUAUCACCACAAGGACCAUUAAUCCAAUUUAGCCUAAAUUUAAACCAUGCUCCUGGUAAUAACAAUGCUUAUGCAAACGCUGCAGUUUUGUUCCCUUUUACUGUUGCUUCUGUUAAUUCCAUGUUUACACAGCCUUGAAUUUUGGAUAGCGGGCCACCAAUCACAUCAUCUCAGACUCCUCAUUUUUCAAUAAAGCCUUGCAACGAAGCCUCAAUAUUCUGUGUGUGUGUAUACAUACACACACAUAUAUUUGAUGAAUCUAUAUAUACACAUAUAAAUCCAAGGAAUGCAUGAGGGAAUGGCAUAGUAUGUUCACAGGAAGGACGAGGAUUCUCUUCCCUUCUAAUUUUUUUUUAAUUUUUAUUUGAACGGUUACGAUUUAGUCACGUUAAUAUUUUAUAUUGAUUUUUUUUAUAAAGACAAUAAAAUAAAAAAUAAUAUGUGAGAGAAGAAGAGGGAAGAAGAUAAGAAUAGAAGGGAAGAGAAUCCUACUAUCACAAGAAAGCCUUGAAAGCCAUAUGUCAGUAUUAACUGUGGGAAGAGAGCAUGGGUUGGUGGUGGUGGUUACAAUCAUUGCAGAGCUAUAUCCAGAGCAUAAGGUUCUGGUGCCUGAUUGUAGGGGUGGGUUCGGUUCAAAUCGGUUUGGUUUUUUGCCAAAACCGAAACCAAACCGAAAUUUCGGUUCGGUUCGGUUCGGUUAAUUUUUUUUUCGGUUCGGUUUUUUCCGGUUCGAUUUCAGUUCAAUUUCGGUUUUUUGUUUUUUUUUUCAAAAAAUGAAAAACAUUGAAAUUUUUAACAUAUCCACCACAAUCAUAACAUAAGCAUUCUAACUAUAAUAAAAGACAAUGAAAAUAAACAUUUAAAGUUGAACUAAAAUCAUCAAUCAAGUAUUCCAAAGUCCAAACUAACAACCUCACAACACAAAAAUCGUACAAAUGACUUAGAAAAGUUAAAUUGUAUGAUGUUGUUCAAAGAUCAUGGUUGUUUGCUUGUAACUGCAUGUUGACAACUUGAUUAGUAAAAGUAAUGUGUGAGUGGAUUUAUUUAGUGUGUGUUGGAUUCUUUUCCAUCACAAAUUACCCAAGUAAUCUACCUGAAAUAAAUGUUUAUGGAUUAUGUUACAUGUUAUAUGAGAGUAGAUUUGGAAAAGAAAGCUGGGGCAGAAGUAGACAGUGCUAUGGAGAUGGAUGUAGGUACUUCAGGAGGAGGUUUGGUUUCGGAACCUUAUAUAGGGGAGAAAUAAUAGGUUAGGGUUUAGAGUUUUUAUAGGCCUUUUUUUAAUAUUUUGAGCUUAAAGUUUGGCAACACAUUGGGUUUAGCAUAUUUUAACUUACAAAUUGGGUUUAGAAAAUAAUACCCAAAACAAAUAAUUAAAUAAAAAAAUUAAUUUAAUUAAUUCGGUUCGGUUUGGUUCGGUUUCUAGAUCACUAAAACUGAACCGAACCAAAAGAAUUCGGUUCGGUUCGGUUUUUUCAUUCGGUUCAGUUUUUUCUGUUUCGAUUUCGGUUUGGUUUUCGGUUUUUUUCGGUUUUCGGUUUUUUGAACCCACCCCUACCUGAUUGCCCACGUUUUCAACUCUCAUCAAUUUCUAAACAUCAUGUCAGACACAUUUGUUCAACCACCACCCAGAGCCAAUGAAGGCUUAUUGGGGGCACAUGCCGUCAUUUAAAUGAUAUUCGUUUGUUAAGUUGUAAACUACAAUUAUAUAAUACACAUGCGUUAUUUUUUAAGAAAAUAUAUGUACCUAAUAUCCAACUUACUUUCAUAUGCGUAUACUCUAUAUCAAAUAUUAUAUGAGCAAAAGUGCUUUUGUUCUGUCAUUCAAAUCGAAAAACCUUACUCUUGCAUAAUUAUGUAUUAAUAUUUUUCUUAUCACUUUGCCACUUUCCACUACUACCCUGAAAUUUUUGUAACAUUGGAACUGUAAUACAUUAUCAUUUGAAAUCAUCCAUAUUUUCAUAUUGGUUAUAAUUAAGCCAUACUAUAAUAAGGUUUUCUUAAUUGAUUUUCGGGUUGCCCCCACUAAAGGAAAUUUCUAGCUCCGUCCUUGCCACAACCACAGAAAAAUCAAAACAAAUGCAGUAUCGGCAUCGAUCCAUCAAGUCCAUACUAUGUUCAUUAUUCAGAUAACCCCGAUCAUAUGAUCAUUUCGGAAAAAUUGAACGGUCCCAAGUAUCCAUCUUGGAGUAAAUCCAUGAUCCUUUAUCUCACAGCCAAGAAUAAAAUUGGCUUCAUCGAUGGCUCUAUUCAGCCCCCCUCAGCAACAAGUCAACCAAAAGAAUUUGCUUUCUGAAAUCAAUGCAAUAGUAUGAUUUUGUCAUGGUUUGCUCAAUCAGUUGAAUCUGAUUUAUCUAAAGGAGUUGUUCAAGCCAAAAGUGUCUAAAAGGGUGUGUGGAAGAUUUCAAAAUUAGUUUUCACAUAAGAAUGCACCAACAAUCUAUCAUCUUCAGAAGUCCAUCACAUCUCUCUCACAAGGUUCCAUGACGGUCUCGGCUUAUUUUACAAAACUUAAGGGCCUUUGGGAUGAAUUAGAGACAUAUCGACAUCUUCUUACCUGCGAUCAGACAAAGGCACAUAAUGAGCAAAUAGAAGAAGAUCAGAUGAUGCAAUUUCUUAUGGGUCUUAACGACUUUUACAAUGGAGUUCGCAGUAAUAUCCUUAUGAUGACACCAUUGCCAAAAGUUCGUCAGGCAUAUUCACUUGUCAUUCAAGAUGAAACACAACAACAAAUGAUAUUAGGAUUAACCGAAAAUUGUAGAACUCGAAAUAUUAUUGCAAGUUUUUUGACAAAAGAGGCCACACUGAAGACAUAUGCAGAGUAAAAAAUGGGACCGAGGACUCUAGUUAUAGGGGAAACCAAGACAAGAAACACAUCAACAAACCUCACUCCCGUGGGUCCCAUAGCAGCAACCCACGUGUUGCCUUCCCUGCUGCAAAUUUCGCUGCUGGGUCAUCCUCUCUUGCUGCCAAUACAACAGCUGCCCCCUCUCAACCACACAUGUCUUAAUCAAAUGCUCUGCAAGGACUUUCAGCAGAACAACUUCAACAAUUAGCCCAAGCUGUAUCCAUGAUAAAUUUGAGGGAACUUUAACGUAAAGCUUUUGGUACUGUUCAUUUUAAUGAAAAACCACAUUUUUACACUAAAAAGUCAAUCAUGGUACUAUUCACUUUACCCUUUAUUUUGUCCUUAUUAUUAAAACUCAAAGUUUUCAAGCUCUUUUCAUUAGUUUUCCUUAACCAUGCUCCUGUUAAUAACAAUGCUUAUGCAAAAUCUGCAGUUCUGUUCCCUUUUACUGUUGCUUCUGUUAAUUCCAUAUUUACAAAACCUUGGAUUUUGGAUAACGGGGCCACCAAUCACAUCAUCUAAGACUCCUCACUUUUCAAUAAAGCCUUGCAACGAAGCCUCGAUAUUCUGUAUAUAUAUAUAUAUAUAUAUAUAUAUAUAUAUAUAUAUAUAUAUAUAUAUAUAUAUAUAUAUAUAUAUAUAUAUAUAGAUAUUUGAUGAAUCUAUAUAUACAAAUAUAAAUCCAAGGACUGCAUGAGUGAAUGGCAUGGUAUUUUCAAAGGAAGAAAGAUGUCUUCUAUUAUAAACUCUCUUUCCUUCUCUUCCCUCCUAUUUGAACGGUUACCAUUUAAUCACGUCAACAUCUUAUAUUAAUUUUUUUAUAGAGACAAUAAGACAAAAAAUAAUAUGUGAGAGAAAGGGACAUAAAGGAAUGAGAAUAGGAGGGGAGAAAAUCCUACUCUUCACAAGAAAGCCUUGAAAGCCAUACGUUAGUAUUAAUCGCGGGAAGAGAGCAUGGGUUGGUGGUGGUGGUUAGGCCAUCUCCAAUCGAAAGGUCCAAAGGGCCAGAGGAUCGAAAAUAACCCUAAAAUCGUCUCCAACCGAGGGCUAGGCCAGAGGGCUGUGGAAUCUGAAAGGGCCCCACGGAAUCGGAAAUGGCCAAAGGGCUAGAGGGCUGGCCACUUCUGGCCAGUCAACCAGCCCCGGGUUGGCCAUAAAUUUUUUAAAUGUGUCGGAUUUUCUGUCGGUUAAUUCUUAAGAAAAAAUUCAAAUGCAACGGCUAGCUGACUAGCUGUUGCAUUUGAUAUAUUUAUUUUUUUACAGUUUUAUUAUUAUUUUUUAUUUACAAAAUGUUUCAUAUACCUUCUAUUUUUUCCUAUAACUUUUAUUUUACAAACUUUGUUUCAUAUUUUUUUAAAAUUCCAUUUUUCCUAUAACUUCUAUUUCACAAAAUUUGUUUCAUUUUAUUUUAAAUUCUAUUUUUUUUUCCUAUAACUUCUAUUUCACAAAAUUUGUUUCAUAUUUUUUUUCCUAUAACUUCCUAAGCCAUUAUACAACAUUACAUUAAAUUAAGUAACAUGAAACAACAUUAAACAAUAUGAAACAACAUUAAAUUAAAUUAAGUAACAUGAAACAACAUUAAACAAUAUGAAACAACAUUAAAUAACAUUAACCAUGAUGCACCCCGACCCGAAAUGUCUACUAGAACUCCGAAUCGAGUUGUGCUGGCCGACAACUGGAAGGUGAUGAAGCCAUAAAGUGUAGUAAUGUGAAAAAAGUGAAUAAAUUAAACCUAAAAAUGCCUAAUCAAAAGAGUGUGCGGGUGAGCGGGAUUGAACCCUUUUCACACAUGAUGUCAGAGCAUAAGACAAUAUAGUAAAUAGGAUAAGGGUUAUACCACUGAAGGUAACCAUCUUAUGAGAUUUGCCAGAAUCCUUGUAUACGCGUAAACAUAGCUACUAAACCUGGAAGGGCGAAGAACAAAGUUGAGUGGGUCAGCAAAACAAUACUUAUACGAAAAACUUUAUUUUUUAAUAUACUAACCCCUCGCCGUAAAACAAGUAUAGUUUCCUUAAAACAUAUUAUGUAAGUAUGUAAUCAAAUAUAACAGCAAUAUAACCAAAUAUUUGCCAAGUCAUGAUAUAUCAAAUGCCAAAGUAAUAUAAUCAUGUGAUAAUCAAUUAUAAGUAGUUUGCUCAUCAUCUAAGCUAGCACAUGAGUCGGAACUGCCUAAGGCAAUUCUACCCGACAGGACUGGGUGUAAUCAAUGUGCUCUAGUACUACGAUCACACAAAGACUGGUACAGAAGCAUGGUCACAUACAAGUCGGAUUGCCUAAUGCAAUCUACCCGACAAGACUGGUACCUAACUUGGAUCCAAGGUGAGCGAAUGGUGCGAAUGUGAACAUACACGUGAACGACUAGUCCUGGCCCUAGGCGGAGUACUAACAUCGGGGUGCAGCAAGAUGAGCAUGUACAAAUAUGUAUGAAUGUCAUGACAAUAAUAUCUCAACCAUAUAGCAGCAUUUAUCACAUUUCAUAUCACAUUAUCGAAUACUUGGCAAUAUAAGCGAAAAAGUGAAGUAACUACACAUUUAGGGAAACUAUCAAUAUGUAUAGGUAUAAAAUAAACUGCCCACUCACAGAUAUUUCACCGCUGACGAGCCACGCAACCUAGCGAAUGGAAAUGCCACUAAUAAUUGCCCUUAAGCACAUAAAGGUACAAUUAAUAAAACUAUAUUAUAAAAAUUGAAUUUGGGAAAACAGACGUCAAAAACAGAUUCAGGACGUCGAAUUACCCUAAGAAGGGUCCCGCUUAAAUUUCUGAAAAGAAAACAAAAGUCAACAUGAUGAAUAUUCCCUGAAUGACGAAAUAUUCUCUGACAAAUGGGAUAUUCCCUAACGAAAUAUUUCAUCUAGGUUAAGGGUUAUUAGGUUGGAUUAGUUUAAUAUGUUGGACUUAAGGGUUCUGGGCCUAAACUAAAAGGGUUUAGGGCUUUAGGGAUUGGGUUUGGGGUUUAGGCCUUCAAUUUAACAAAUAACAUAAAAACAAAAGAAUUAAAAAGGGUUAAGGGUUUGGGUUUGGAGUCAGGGGCCAAAGGCCUUCUUCUACUCGGCCCCAAGGGCCUGGGUUUGAAAGGGUAGGGCUUAAAAGCCUGGCCCGAGUCCAACAUAUGGGUCGCCGGACCCAAAGGAAGAUGAAGGCCGAAAUUCGGUUGGAAAAAUACACAACCUUUAAACGUUCACAACUUCCUCGUUACUCAACGAAAUCGAGUGAAACAAAAACGAAAGUUGUAGUUCUCGAAGAGACGAAGAGAAUGGUAUCUCGCACGAGUUAUAGUACUUAGCGAGACGAAGAGAUUGAUAUCUUGCAUGCCGGCUAAUUCGCCGUGGUUUGGCUGGAAAUUGGCUCGAAAAGCACGGGUCAAACUUGAACUUCUCGAAACCGAGUUGUUUCACAUCAAAGCUUCCUCAAACCUUGACUAGGGACCCUAGGGAGUUGCGUAGAGGCUUUCCCGAGUCCUAAAACAUCGUGACCCGGUUGAAAACACGUCGAACUCAACUCGUCCGAGUUCGGACCUUCCAAGUUGGUGAGUCAAAACUCGUCCAUUCUUAGUUUGGUUGGUAUGGUUGUGUUCGUGGAGGUAAGGUGAACACAAUCGUAAGGUUGUUAAGCUGGAACAAUGAAGAUUUGGGGUUGGUCUUCCUUGUUGAAGAGAAAAGAGAGUUUCGAGAGGGAGAGAGAAAUAAGGAAGAGAGAGAGAAGAGAAAAGCAAGGGUUUCUUAUUGUUGUAAAAAAAUGAGGGAAAUGAUGUGAAUGGUGGAGAGGAAAAGAAGGAAAGUAAAAGUUGAUUAGUGUGAAAGGAAGGGGACCAUAUCCCUUUUUGGGAUUGGAUGGGUUAAUUUUGUACAAUUUAAAAUGUACAAAAUCUGCCUCUAUCUUGUUCGUGCUUGUACAAAAUACCCGUAGUUAACGUACUUUAACGGAGCGUAAUUUUUUCGUUACAAAUCCAAUUCGAGUCUAACACACGUCUACACAUUCGUAGCGACGACUACUAUGAGGAUAUGCUAAAAGAAUAAGUCAUAUGUUUCUCUAGCUGAUGGUCAACGGAAGUCAAAGUCCUUGCCUUUAAGACAUUUUCGUAAAUUCACACUUUUAAAAUUAAUAAAAACGUAAAAUUAGGGACGAGUCGUCACAAACCAACAUACAAAUUAUACAACAUAAAAAAAACAUUUAACAACAUGAAACUUAAACAAUAUUUUUAAAAACAUUUAAGAGCGACCAGCAAUAAAGCCACCCCAUUGAGGUUGUUCCUCAGUUGGCUGACACACCAUGGCCGCAGCUAUGGCUGCUGCUCUGUUUUGUUUGUUGCGCCUUACUUGAACUUCUUCACCAGACUCUUCAUCUUCUUGUCUCAUUUGCGCCUAUUUUGCUUCUCUUUUGGAAUUGGAUGAGGACCCCCAGUUGGAAUAUGAAGAGGAUCCAAAGUUGGAAUUCAUUGCAAACUUGAAUUGAAAGAGAUUGAAUUGAAAUAGAUUGAAUUCAAAGUUAUGUGAAUUAUAUCCCAAUAUCCACCCUAUUUAUAGCAAAAAAAAAUUCAAAUCCAACGGCUAGCUGACGUCACUUAGCCGUUGGAUUUGAAUUUAAGUUGUAGUUUUUAAAUAAUAAAUUAUGUUUGGCCUUAUGGCAUUUUGGCCCUCGGUUUGAGACGGUUUUUUGUGACAGGGCUAAAAUGAGCCCUCUAGCCCUUGAUUGGAGACGGACGCAAAUAUGGCCCUGUACUGUUAAUAUCUUGGAGGAUCUUGGAGAGCCAGAAGACUAAAACGAGUCAUCUGACCAGCCAUCGGUUGGAGAUGGCCUUACAGUCAUUGUAGAGGUACUACACUAGAAAUUAAAGAAAUGGGGAUGGAUGGGUGCAUGUAGCAAAUUUGAAUGUGAUAGAUAUUUCACAUAAUAUCUCCAUGAAAUUGGCAGCAGUGCCCCUUGUGGCAUGCAAUGUUUGUGAUGAUAGUGGCAAUUUUUUAUUUCUCAGCACAGUCAAGAAUCCCAUGUGCAAAAGCCAAAUUUGAGGAUUCUUUGCCGGGGAAAAAUUUCAAGGUGUGGCGGUCACACUAACAUGAGAGACAUUACUAGUUUAUAUAUUAUAAUAUGGAUAGACGAUUAAGUUGAUAUUUUCUAAUUUCUUUUGGUUUGGUAUAAAAAAUCAUAUUACAGCAAGGAAUUGAAUUUUGGUGCAAAGGGUUGAACACACUGCCCUAGACAACUACUCUAAUCCACAUAUCCUGAAAUAUAAUAUUAUUAAAUAUAGGGAUGUGAUAUAACAUGACUAGAUUGAUUACCAGCAUUAAUGUACGAUAUUCACACGGAAGAAUUUCAUCAUUGCCGGUUUGGAUGCCGCGUGUGCUCUAUAUUUGUUUAGGUGUGGCAGUUGUAUUAAUUACUACGUGAUGUUACUAAUUGGAGUACUAUUAUAUGGGUGAACGGUAAAACUAAUAUAUUGUAGAUUUAGAGUACAAAUUUGCUAAAUAGAUACACAUGGUAUAACACGUUAGACGACAGUAAUGUCAUCUUUGCCAGUUUGGAUGUAUCAUGUAGUAAGUAAAUCUGUAUGUUACUUAACAUUCUUUCUGCUAUGUGUAAUUAUGUGUGUUAAGCUUGUAAAAGGAAACCAUGUGAAAAAGCAUGAGCAGAGGUCCACAGUAACUCAGCAUGCUGUGCUGGUUUUGCUGGUAAGGGAAAAAUUAAGAGUACCGUUGAUUACUUUAGGAUACGAAAGUGGGUACGAUGUGUUUGUCAAGGCUCAUGGUGGUGGCCUUUCUGGUCAGGUGCAGGCGAUAUCCCUUGGCAUUGCUCGAGCUUUGCUAAGGGUCAGCGAAGGCCAUAGAAGACCUUUCAGAAAGGAAGCGCUGCUGACCAGAGACACCAGAGUAGUUGAAAGGAAGAAGCCUAUGUUGAAUUGUAAUCUUGUCUUGGGCCAGGUCCAGCCCAUGUUGAAAAGGCAAAACAAGAUUCAUCAAUUGCUAGAUAAUUAUAGCAAGAGCAUGUCGGUUCAUACAUUGAAAAUGCUAGAGAAUUCUAGCACCAAAGUCGGUGCGUCAUGCAUGCAUAUUAAUAUAACAGACAAUUCUAGUAUUUUAGCAUAUUAAGUUGGCAAGUUUGUUUAAUGGAUUGUUAUAGAAAACUCUAGAAUAAUUAUAACUUGAGGUUAGGAUGAAGAACAAAAUUCCACCGACUUGGUAAGUCGGUAAUGCUUGCCUAUAAAUAUAGGUGAAUGUGUUGUGAUGUAACUAAGAGAGCAAGAAGUGAGAAAAAGAGUGAAGAAGUGUGUGAGUGUAAGUGUUUCCUCUUGUAUUAGUUUGUGUAAGAAUAAAAAUUUUGUGUAAUACUUUAAGUGUUCUUUCUUUCUCUUGUCUAUCAAUUCCGCUGCAUUACAUUCUUCUUUGUGAGAUAAACAUCUUCAAAGUAGUGAAGUCUUUUUAAGCCCCAACAACUUGGUCUCAAGAAAGCUCGCAAAGCCCCUGAAUUUUCAAAGCGUUAGACUCGUCUUUCCUUUUCUAUGUUGUGGACAUCGCAAGCCAUACAAAGAUCUCGGCUUCCAUUGUAGAUUAAGUGGCUUUUGUAGUGAAAUCUUUUUGUGCACUAUAUGAACAGGUUUUCAUUUGGAAAUGUGAAUGUAGAUUGAAAGCAAGGAAUUUGGAUUUGGUAACUUAAUUUGUUACUUCCUAUUGAUUUUCAAGGAUUGUUUAUAUCUUUCAUGAAUGCAUUACAAUUGUUUAGCCGUAUAUAAACUGGUGAGAAGCCAAGGGUUUGGUGAAAAUGUUGGCCAAUUGAUCACAGCUUCUGGUAUAAUGGGUCUGAAUCAUUUUUGACUGGACUUGUUCCCGAACAUAAUGGCAGUCAACUUCAAUAUGUUUCGUCCUCUCGUGAAACACUAGGUUUGAUGUUAUAUGCAUUGCUGCCUGAUUGUCACAAAAUAAAGACAUGGGGAGAGUUGUAAACACUCCUAAGUCGCUCAGAAGACCCUUUAGCCAUAUCAGCUCACACGCAGUGGAGGCCAUUGCAUGAUACUCGGCUUCAGCACUUGAGCGUGCGAUGACAUUUUGUUUUUUGCUCUUCUAUUUGACCAAAUUUCCACCAACAAAUGUACAGUAACCUGUUGUGGACUUACGGUCAAUUGCGUUUCCCGUCCAAUCAGCGUCGCAAUAUCCCAUGAGUUGUGUGUUUUCAUUCUUCUUCAUGAUGAUGCCACGACCCAUAGACCCUUUUAAGUAGCGUAAUAUCCGCUUAACAAGGUUCAAAUGCUCAAUUGUGGGAGAGUGCAUGACUUGGCUUAUGACACUUACGGAAUAUGUGAUGUCAGGUCUGGUGAUUGUUAGGUAGAUCAACUUACCAACAAGCCUCUGAUAAUGGCGUAUAUCAGUGAGUGGGGUGCCUUCCAAGCUAGGUUUGAGCUUGCUAUCCAGAGGAGUAAUUGUAGGUUUGGCAUCUCUCAUGUUAACUUCCUUGAGCAAAUCCAGGAUAUACUUUCUUUGAUUUAGAAAUAGUCCAUUGUGAGAAGUUGCCAUCUAUAUGCCAAGGAAAUACUUCAAUACCCCAAGGUCUUUAAUUGCAAACCUUUGUCUGAGUGACUGUUUGAGUUUGAAGAUCUUUUCAGCAUUAUCUCCUGCAAUUAUUAAGUCAUCGACAUAGAUCAAGACAACCAAUUUGUCCACAGCUCCAGUGCAAACAAAUAAUGAGGAAUCGACAUUGCUUCUUUUGAAACCAACAUUUGUGAGAACUGAGCUUAGCUUGCCAUACCAAGCUCGGGGGGAUUGUUUCAAUCCACAAAUUGAUUUAUGCAAUUUGCACACUGAAUCAUGCUCAUUGCUUUGAGGGUGCCCUGGUGGCAAUUUCAUAUAGACUUCUUCUUCGAGAUCACCAUGUAAGAAUGCAUUCUUCACGUCCAUUUGGUACAUGGACCAUCCUUUAUUGACAGCCACAGACAAUAGAACCCUAACUGAGUUCAUUUUCGCAACAGGGGCAAACGUUUCUUUGUAAUCUACAUCGAAAGUUUGAGUGAAUCCCCUAGCCACCAACCUUGCUUUAUGUCUCUCAAUUGAGCCAUCUGAAUUGAAUUUGAUCUUAUAAAUCCAUUUACAACCCACAGCCCUUUUUCCUUUUGGAAGUGUGGUUAUACUCCAUGUUUUGUGUUGAUCUAGAGCUUUAAGUUCUUCUUGCAUUGCUUCUUUCCACACUUCUUUGUUGUUAGCCUCAUGGAAAUUCUGAGGCUCACUACAACUUGCAAUGUUACUUAAGAAUGCAGCAUGAGAGUGAGUCACCUUUUGGUAGGACACAUAAUUGGAGAUUGGAUGUUUGGGUUUGUAGGUGACGAAGUCUUGAAACCUUGGGGGAGGUUGUCUUUCACGCAUUGGAUUGCUUCGUGGGGCUGUUGUGUGAGUUGUCUCACACUCGUUCACAUCUUGAGCCACACUGUGAGGAUCAUCUUGAUUGUCACCAUCUUCAUGUGUUGUACCAUCAGAGUGAGGGCCUUCAUUGCCACUUUUAGUGAGGGAUGACUCAGUGUUGACAUGGCUGAGAACUCUAUUUGUUGAAGCAUCAAGGUCGAUUCUUAGUAGAGGAAACACCUCCAACAUACACUCUCCUUGACUUGUAGUUUCAAGUGACUUGCUGUAAAAAGGGUCAGUCUCAUGGAAUCGAACAUCUUUAAACACAAUCAAUUUCCUCAAUUGGGUAUUAUAACACUUAUAUCCCUUUUGUGUUGAAGAAUAGCCAAGGAAAAUGCAUUUAACAGCUUGAGGGUCCAAUUUACCUCGAUGAUGAGGUUGAAUAUGUACAAAGCAAAUACAGUCAAAGACUCUAAGGUGUGAAAGAUCGAUUUUCCUACCUUUCAUGACCUCAAGGGAUGAUUUAAACUCCAAGACUCUGCUAGGUAACCUAUUUAUGAUAAAGGUAGCUGCCAUGACUCAUUGGGACCAAAAUUUCUUUGGUACAUUCAUUUGUAGCAUUAGUGCUCUAGUUUUUUCAAGUAAGUCACAAUUUUUCCUUUCGGCUAUGCCAUUUUGUUGAGGUGUGCCAACACAACUUGUUUGAUGCAUGAUACCAUGAGUGCUCAAAUAUUGUGUCAUGAUAUGAGAUGUGUAUUCGGUGCCAUUGUCAGACCUUAAAGUUUGAAUUUGAGAAGUGAAAUGGUUUUUAACAAGAUUAUGAAAAUCCUUAAAAGCUUCUAUAACUUCAUUCUUAGACUUUAGGAGGUACAAUCAUGUGGCUCUAGAGAAAUCAUCAACAAAUAUCACAAAAUACUUAUAACCAUCAAAAGAUUCUAAAGUUGGUCCCCAUACAUCCAAAUGGACAAGUUCAAAACACUUACUAGCCCUGGAUAAGGAAGAGUUAAAAGGUAAUCUAGUGGCCUUAGACAAGUGACAUGUUUCACAUGAAAUUACAUCCUUCCCUAAGUUUGGAAAUAAAGUUGACAAAAUGGGUGGAGAAGGAUGAGCUAAACGUUGAUGCCACAAUUGGUUAUCUUGGAUAGAGUAGGACUUGGCUUGAAACCCUCUGGGAUUACUCUUCGAUAUGUAAUAGAGACCAUCUAGAUAAAACCCUUCACCAAUCGUCUUCUUGGUUGCACAUUCCUGAAAAACAACAUUGUGAGGGGAUAAUAUGGCUAAGCAAUUUAAGGUAUUUGUGAUUUUCCCACAGAUAGGAGUUGAAAUGGAAAGGAAUGAACAUAUAAGGCCACCGACUCAAUUUCAUCAGAUAUUAAGUUGAUUUUUCCCUUUCCUAAAACCUUUGCAUUUUCACCAUUUGCAAUUGAAACUUGGGAAGGAUUUAAUAAUUUUUCAAACUUAUGAAACUUAGACACAUGGUUGGUCAUAUGGUCUGUGGCACCCGAAUUUACAACCCAAAAAUCAUGCAACAUAUUUAUAUUAAGAGCAGUUUUGAAAGCUUUCAUGAUACCUUGCAUGUCUUCUUAAGGUACAUGUUUCGUGUCGGCUAAGAAACCAGCAAACUUGCCUAGCAAAGCUGUUGGGUUUCCGUCUUCAACGUUGUCUAUUCGGUCACUUCCAGUCUCUCAUUUCUUUCUUUGAAGAUACAAUGCAAACUCAUUCAUGAGUGCAGCUGGAUUAGCUGUGAAGUUCUUAACUGUGUCAGACACAUGUGAAGAGGAGGCAGACGCAUGAUUUGCUCGAUGUACAGUACGGUUCACUCUCUGUGAAACCUUGUUGUCCUUCUUGAAAUCAGGCUUUAAUUCUGGAUGUAAAAUCCAACAUGUCUCUUUAACAUGGCCCGUAUAGUUGCAGUGUUGGCACUUCAAGUUUGGAUGCUUCACUUUGUACUUCUUCUCGUUGAUUAGGUAGGCCUUUUCUUUAGAUACAUUGGCCUUUGUACCAAUGUUCAUGACCUUCCUCCUUACUUCCUCACAUUGAAUUGUUGCACAAAUACUGGUGAAGGAAGGAAGUUCAGUGUUCAUGAGUAUGUGGCUUCGUAGGUCUUCAUAUUCUGAGUCGAGACUGGACAGAAGUUGAAAUAUCUUGUCUUCUUCUGCUUUCGUCCGUAACAAACCAGCAUCAGUGGUAUGAGGGCGAUAUAUUUCCAACUCAUUCCACAUGCUUUUCAUGCUACCUAAAAGUUGUACAAAGGGUUUACCUUCUUGUUACAGGUUGGAGAUGUCCUUCUUUAAUUGGAAAACCUAUGCAGCAUUGUUCUGACUGCCAUACAUUUCCUUGACAGUCUCCCAUAGCUGGAGUGAAGAUUCAGAGUAACUGAAUAUUUCAGCUAGUUUAUGUUCCAUGGAAUUCAGGAGCCAUGACAUAACCAGCUGAUCCUUGCUAAGCGGAUUCAUAAGCUGGUGAGGAAGCAUCAGGAACUUCGAUGCUUCCAUUUAUGAAUCCUAACUUGGACCUUCCACCUAAGGCAAACGAUACAGCCCUUGACCAAGGCAAAUAAUUAAACCCAUUCAACAAGACUGAGCUUAAUCUUUGAUUUGGGUUGAUAUCCACCUCAGGCAUAUUCACGGAGGAAAAAACCAGUGACCUUUCAGCAUCCGAUCCAAGAGGAUUGUCUUCAGCCAUUUUGAAGAUUGAACCCGUUCAGAUGGUAGUAAAGCAGAAGCAGGUUAUUUUUCCUGCUCUGAUACCAUAUUGAUUUUCAAGGAUUGUUUAUAUCUUUCAUGAAUGCAUUACAAUUGUUUAGCCGUAUAUAAGGAGAUGAACUCUCCUUGAGUUAUGCCACAAUCGGUGGACUCCUAAGAAAAGAGAACAAAUGAUUAGAGACACACUUGAGUGGUUGCUUUACCCCUAACCCUACACACUUGAGUAGAUGCUUUAACCUACUUAAAGAGAACAAAUGAUUAACCACUUAGGAGACACACUUGAGUGGUUGCUUUACCCCUAACCCUACACACUUGAGUAGAUGCUUUAACCCUACUUCCAAUACUUCCCAUAACUUGAUUGCUAGACAUAUUUUUGUUUCUAGUGUUAUAUCAUAUGAUCCUAGAGUUUUCGGGCAUAAAUUCAAGUACCGGGCAGAAUGCAGCUUGCUCGCUAGAUUGCCUUUUUCUCAACAAUUCCGGCAAAUACUCUGAUCAGCAAGAACACAAGUGAAUUGAUCCAUCGAGUUAUUCGGCCAUAACAUGCACGAUUUUUUCAGAUAAUCUCGUUACCACGUAAGACUUGUUAUUACUUCUUUAGUUAAUAGUAGAUUAUCACUAAUUUUAGCUAUAGAAAAUGCUCUAUAUCCCAAAAUUUUCUUUUCCAAACCUAGGCGUCAAGUGACAUGCAUGACCCUGCAUCAUUGCAUAAAAAGUACAAUAACUUUGUAGGCUCCAAGGAUAACAAAAUUGAAACCAAAAUUUAUGCUGGUUUUCCAAGCGAGAUGAAGGUCGCUUGAAGUUCAAGGGCUUUUACAAGAGAGGAGCGAAUGACGAGACAUUUAGGGUUAUGGACCAGCCCUAAAAAUGGAGAGAAUAUCAGAUACAAAAGGUGAGGGGCACGAGUCAGAGGUUGAGAUAUACUAUUGAGGUUAAAAAGACCUUUAUAUGUAAAAUCGGGCGAAACACGUGAUUUAUACGGUCGUAUUGGAAGCUUUUGCCCAUAUUUUAGAUUAGUUUCUUAUAGAUUUUGUAUCUUAUUUUUGGACCUAUUUUGGUUUGUUUUGGAUCUAAUGCUGCAUCCUUUUUUGGUACGUUUUCUAUAAACCCUAAAACCCUAUAAUAUAUGUUAUUUUCUUCUGUCAACCUAAAAACAUAAGGAUUUUUAGCAAAAUGGUAUUUGAAAUUGUUAUAAAUUCUCACUUUAGUCCCUAAUCUUUAAAAUCGAUAGAAGUAGUUCUAAGAUUGUCUACCAACAAAUCAAUCACUUUAGUCAGGUGAAAAAUCUCCGUUAAAUUGAAGAAACCAUCAAUUCAAAUAGAGUUUCUAAAACUAUAAAGUAUCUUUAGUCAAAUUUCAUUACCUAUGUGAAACUAUAAAUAGAAGGAACUUUAGGAUCCUUUACUGUAGGUUUUGUAUUCAUGGGCAUUGGUCUUGUUGAUGCUUUCGGGCAAACGACAAUGGGUUGGAAUGGUAUACGAAGUCAACAGAUAUUACUGUGAACAUAAAAUAUUAUGGCUGCACAAAGUUGAAGGUAGUUCUAGGUCUGGCCGCCCAAAACAUCACGCCGUUGUUUUAUAUUCUUGUUUUGGUACUGUUGGAAAACUUUAUUUAAUGAACACAAGAUUUUGGAUUACCGUUUACAUUGGUCUCAAUUGAAUCCAUGGCUACAUUUUCUUUCCUGCCUACUUCCUUUCGUUUAUUUCGAAGAAAACGAAGAUCGAUGGGCGUCUCGUCUUAAGACUUCAUCCAUUCAAUAAAGUUCUUGAAGGUCUCGUACGAUUGUCCGCCUUCUUUGAUGUUGUUCAUGGCCACUUCCUUCAGUUUCGAAGCUCUCGCUGUGAAGUUUUCAUCACUGAGAAGUUGCUCCACCUUGGUCUUGAUUUCUCCUUCCGUGAUGAUCCCGCUUUCAUUCUUAUCGAAUCUCAGUCCCACCUUCCAAAUAUCGCAAAUGUAGCUCUCGUUGAGCAACUGGUCAGCAAAGUACGGCCAGCACAAGAAAGGAAGCCCACUGCUUAGGCCUUCCAGGGUAGAGUUCCAACCGCAGUGGCUUAUGAAGCAAGCAAUCGAAGGAUGACUGAGAACCUUUUGUUGAGGUGCCCAACCGACCAUCAGACCGCGAGAGCCUACUCGCUCUUGAUAUCCUUCCGGGUAGGGAUCACUUGUACCAUCAGUGGUAUCCGGCCUCACAACCCACAGAAAUGGCCUCCCUGACAAAUCAAGAGCCAGCGCAAGCUCUUGGAAUUGUGUUUGAUCAAAAACCGUGAAGCUGCCAAAUGCAACAUAGAUCACUGAUCUGGGUUUCUGUUGAUCCAGCCAACCUAAGCAAGUGGAGUCUUGUGGCCAGAAGUUUCCUUCUGAGUUCUCGAGCCGGCUGCUUGCCAAAAGCGGGCCUAUUGGUAAAAUCUCGGGUGCUAGGGUGAACGCUGCUGGUUCCAGAUCAUAUGCCGAGUUGCAAACAAGCCAGUCUGCCGCUUUCACAGACUUAUUGUUUCUUACUAUAACUUGAAAGACGAUUUUCUGAGUGGCUAUUGUAUGAAAGCAUGUCCACAGCAAGUCUGCAGUUUUCAUUUUGGGAAGAUUUUUUGCCAAUUCAAUUUCUUGGCUUUUCAACGGAGUUCCUGCCAUAAGUGAAUCAUAACAAAAAUAUAAUUAGUGAAUUAGAUCAAAAUAUUUCUUUGUUAAUCAAAUUAUUCUUACGGUACCAUCAUUAUCGUCGAUGAUUCCUUCAUGAAUCAACUUUGGAAUAUUGAAACUCAAUGCCAAAGCUGCAGCUGAUGCGGGCCAAAAGGCAACCCGCCGGAUUUUCAUUUUCGCUGCCACAUCCAGAGCCCACCCGGAACUCUCAUCGGCAAGGACACAAGUGACCUUGUCACUUUCUUCUUCAUUGAUCUUCUCUAUCAACUCCUCCAACUUCCCCGGCAUGACUCGUUGCAUUCCUUCACACAACAGGCCUAGGUCAUUCCUGUCCUCCCCGGGUUCUAAGCCAUCUGGAAGUGAAACUAGAUGAAUACGAUCUCCUACAUGAGUUUGGCCAGCCAGGGCGAUGCGUUUGUGAUUGAACUCUGUGUUCACAAAUGUGACUUUGAAGCCAUGACUGACUAAGCAUUGUGACAACUCCAUCAAGGGAAGCACAUGGCCUUGUGCCGGAAAAGGAACAGCUAUUAUAUGUAAGUCGCUCAUUUUUGUUCUUGAUCUUUCCUUUUCCGCUAUGAGAUGUUUUCAAAUGUAGCUUCUCUAUCGUAUCAUAUAUAGAAGAAGCCCGAAGCAUCGGUUUAGGAUUCAUUGGGGAAUCCACCAUUUUGUCUCUUUGAUUUAGGGUUCAUUCCGGUUACAUUUACCCCUUUUACACGUGAUUUUGUUCCUUUCUUUGGUUUAUUAGGAUGUUGUUUUGCUGAUACAUUCAAUGAACGGCCUUAGUUUCAUCAAUCUAUUGUUUUAUAUUUUUGUUCUAUAACUGAUGGAACUAGGUUUCAUUUUCUUUUUCUGGACGCACUGAAAGAUUUAAACACAUAAACUCGGUUUUAAUUUGGUUUCUUUUUUUUCUAGUUUACACCAGCUUGAUCUCAACUCCUUCCAAGAAGUAAUCCAAGUUUGAAAACAAUGCUCGAAGAAGUCACCUAUCAUUUCAUCCAAUCGACAAAACUAUUGAAACUUUGGUUUGAGCCGCCACCUUCUUCGACACUAUCCAUAACCUUUUUUCUUCAUAUCCAAAGUCCUUGCUCUUAUUCCCUCAUCCUCUAUCAGUUGCCCCACCUUGUUUGCAAUUUCUCUGCGUGUAAUGCCUCCACUUUCAUCGCAUUCGAACCCCAAGCCAACCUUUGAAUCGUCUCAAAUGUAGGUUUGGUUUAAAAACUGGUCAAGCAAAGUAUAGCCAGCAUAAGAAAGGCACCCCAUGAUUUACAGCUUCCGUGGUGGAAUUCCAACCACAAUUACUCAAGAAACUCGCAAUGGACAGAUGAGACAACUGUCUGCUGUGGAGCCCAAGCUACUAUCCGCCCUCGAUCAACAACAGUAUCAAGAAAUUGUUCUGGCUAGGGUUCAUUUUCUGUGUGUGUAUCAGCUCUCACCACCCACAGAAAAGGCCUAUCGGAGAGUUCAAGCCCCUGGCACAAUUCUUCGAACUGUUUUCGAUAAAAAAAACUGCAUUACUACCAAAAGCAACAAUAUGACUGAUUGUGGAGAUUGUUGGUCAAGCCAAUUCAAACAUGAGUCAUCCGGCGAGAUGUUUCUGGCAGAGUUUUCGAGUCGGUUGCUUGCCAAAAGUGGACCUAUUGGUAGAAUCUGAGGAGAAAUGGCAAAUGCCGCCUGCUCAAGGUCGUAGGUUGAGAUGCAAAUUAACCAGUCUGCUAAUUUUGUUGAUUGGUUGUUUCUAACCAUAAAAGAGGUCGCACUUGGUGCGAUGGCAAGUGCCUUCGCCCAUGAGCGGUAGGUCUCGGGUUCGAGACUUGGGAGCAGCCUCUUCAUAAAUGGGGGUAAGGCUAGCCGACAUUCACCUCUCCCAGACCCUGCGUAAAGCGGGAGCCUUGUGCACUGGGUACGACCUUUGGUUGUUUCUAACCAUAAGUUGAAACACAUUCUUCUGCAGAGUGUUACUGCCACGGCAUGCCCACACAAAAGCUGAUGUGUUCAUGCCAGGCAUUUCUGGUGAUAAUUUAAUUACUUUUCUUUGUGGGAGUUCCCUGCAAAUACAAUUCACUAUUGAAGGUUUCAAUACAAGCGAUAUUAUACUUUACACUAAUCUAAACUACAACGAGGGGGAUACGAACUGAGGUGCAUAGAGAGAGCACAGCGCAUCCGCUCUAGCCAAUGUGGCUACGCCCACUUCUACUAGUCAUAAUUGAAGUUGGUCUCGGUAAAGAGCUUUCACUUGUUUGCUACAUUUAAAGAUAUAUUUUGUGCAGACGUGGAAGAGCGGAUGUGCUAUUGCUAUGCAUCGGAGUUUGAAUCCCUUCUCUGUCGUUUGGAUUAGUUUAAAGUAGAACAUAUCGUCAUUUUAAAAGAAAAAGAAAGAUAUAAAGUAUGGUUCAUCAAAUUUCAUUAGCUACAGAAUACCAUAUAUAGGUGCUUUAGGAUCCUUUACUGUAGGUUUUGUAUUCAUGGGCAUUGGUCUAGUUGAUGCUUUCGGGUAAACGAGUUUCAUCACUCCUAUAUUCUUGUUUUGGUAAACACAUUGGUCUCAGUUGAAUCAAUCAACUGACAUGUUGAUCUUAUAUUAUUAACUCUCGAACCAGAUGCAUUGCUACAUUUUCUUUGCGGCCUAGUUCCUCUUGUUUAUUCCGAAGAAAACGAGGAUCGAUGGGCGUCUCGUCUAAGACUUCAUCCAUUUAAUAAAGUUCUUGAAGAUCUUGGACGAUUGGCCGCCUUCUUUGAUAUUGUUCAUGGCCAUUUCCUUCAGUUUCGAAGCUCUCACUUUGAAGUUUUCAUCACUGAGUAGUUGCUCCAUCUUGUUCUUGAUUUCUCCUUUUGUGAUGAUCCCGCUUUCAUUCUUAUCGAAUCUCAAUCCCACCUUCCAAAUAUCGCAAAUGUAGCUCUCGUUGAGCAACUGGUCAUCAAAGUACGGCCAGCACAAGAAAGGAAGCCCAUUGCUUAGGCCUUCCAGGGUAGAGUUCCAACCGCACUGACUUAAGAAGCAAGCAAUCGAAGGAUGACUGAGAACCUUUUGUUGAGGUGCCCAACCGACCAUCAGACCGCGAGAGCCUGCUCGCUCUUGAUAUCCUUCCG
rnacentral:lncRNA from 1 species